rnacentral:misc_RNA from 1 species
UAAUUGAGUGUUUAUGGCACUUUUAAAAAAAUCCAUACCCACCUUGUGUGCAAUGUUGGGGGUCUGUUGAGCGUUCUUGUUUGGACGCAAAGCAGAUCUUUUUUUAAUUAAUCUACCUUUAAACAGUUUGUCUGAAGCAAGUAUCAUGAAUAACAUAAUUCAGAAAUA